GAUGAACGCUGGCGGCGUGCCUAAUACAUGCAAGUCGAGCGAACGGACGAGAAGCUUGCUUCUCUGAUGUUAGCGGCGGACGGGUGAGUAACACGUGGAUAACCUACCUAUAAGACUGGGAUAACUUCGGGAAACCGGAGCUAAUACCGGAUAAUAUUUUGAACCGCAUGGUUCAAAAGUGAAAGACGGUCUUGCUGUCACUUAUAGAUGGAUCCGCGCUGCAUUAGCUAGUUGGUAAGGUAACGGCUUACCAAGGCAACGAUGCAUAGCCGACCUGAGAGGGUGAUCGGCCACACUGGAACUGAGACACGGUCCAGACUCCUACGGGAGGCAGCAGUAGGGAAUAUUGCGCAAUGGGCGAAAGCCUGACGGAGCAACGCCGCGUGAGUGAUGAAGGUCUUCGGAUCGUAAAACUCUGUUAUUAGGGAAGAACAUAUGUGUAAGUAACUGUGCACAUCUUGACGGUACCUAAUCAGAAAGCCACGGCUAACUACGUG
rnacentral:rRNA from 1 species